GACGAACGCUGGCGGCGUGCUUAACACAUGCAAGUCGAACGAAGUGGCGAACGGGUGAGUAAUACGUGGGUAACCUGCCCUCCUUUUUGGGAUAAGCCUUGGAAACGGGGUCUAAUACCGACUAAAGGGGGAUGGGCUUGCGGCCUAUCAGCUUGUUGGUGGGGUGAUGGCCUACCAAGGUGGUGACGGGUGGCCGGCCUGAGAGGGGGGCCGGCGACAUUGGGACUGAGAUACGGCCCAGACUCCUACGGGAGGCAGCAGUGGGGGGGAUUGCACAAUGGGCGAAAGACUGAUGCAGCGACGCCGCGUGGGGGAUGAAGGCGUUCGGGUUGUAAAAUGCUUUAUGUGGGGAUAAGGUACCACAUGAAUAAGGACCGGCUAAUUCCGUGCCAGCAGCCGCGGUAAUAC
rnacentral:rRNA from 1 species